rnacentral:rRNA from 1 species
UCGAGAAUCUUCGGCAAUGAGCGCAAGCUUGACCGAGCGACGCCGCGUGCGGGAUGAAGGCCCUCGGGUUGUAAACCGCGAAAGAAGGGAGGAAAUCGCUGGGGGUUCUCCCCCAGUGUUGACCUAUCUUCAGUAAGGACGGGCUAAGUUCGUGCCAGCAGCCGCGGUAAUACGAACCGUCCAAACGUUAUUCGGAUUUAUUGGGCUUAAAGGGUACGUAGGCGGCCCUGUUAGUCGGGUGUGAAAGCCCUCGGCUCAACCGAGGAACUGCGCCCGAUACUGCAGGGCUUGAGGGAGACAGAGGUAAGCGGAACUGAUGGUGGAGCGGUGAAAUGCGUUGAUAUCAUCAGGAACACCAGUGGCGAAAGCGGCUUACUGGGUCUCUUCUGACGCUGAGGUACGAAAGCUAGGGGAGCGAAGGGGAUUAGAUACCCCCGUAGUCCUAGCCGUAAACGUUGAGCACUAGGCGGGAGGAGGUUCGCCUCCUCCGGCCGUAGCGAAAGCGUUAAGUGCUCCGCCUGGGAG